rnacentral:rRNA from 1 species
ACCAGACUCCUACGGGAGGCAGCAGUGGGGGAUAUUGCACAAUGGGGGAAACCCUGAUGCAGCGACGCCGCGUGGGCGAAGAAGUAUUUCGGUAUGUAAAGCCCUAUCAGCAGGGAAGAAGAAAUGACGGUACCUGAGUAAGAAGCACCGGCUAAAUACGUGCCAGCAGCCGCGGUAAUACGUAUGGUGCAAGCGUUAUCCGGAUUUACUGGGUGUAAAGGGGGCGUAGACGGUUAUGCAAGUCUGAAGUGAAAGCCCAAGGCUCAACCAUGGGACUGCUUUGGAAACUGUAAAACUGGAGUGCAGGAGAGGUAAGCGGAAUUCCUAGUGUAGCGGUGAAAUGCGUAGAUAUUAGGAGGAACACCAGUGGCGAAGGCGGCUUACUGGACUGUAACUGACGUUGAGGCUCGAAGGCGUGGGGAGCAAACAGGAUUAGAUACCCUGGUAAA